GACUGCAGGAGUCCCAGGUGUAUUGUCUAGGGUUUCCUGUAAUUUACCCAUGGAAUAAGCAGUCUGGAGGAAAAUGUUUGCAGCAGUGUAUGUGUGUAUUAAUUACACAGCGGGGCAAAAUGAUUUCUUUGUGAUGGAAAAGGAGCUGGCCACUUGGAGUGCCUCUGGUGUCGCUGUGAGAAGGUCCUCGAGUGUGUAUGUGCACAUGUAAGUGGUCUGUGGUUUGC
rnacentral:lncRNA from 11 species